rnacentral:lncRNA from 1 species
AAAUAUCGAACCUAUUUGUGAUGCUGAGCAUAUCCAAAGAUAUUGCUGUUACUACUGCUCUGAUAUUUGUGGACCAAAAAUGGGAAAUGUUAGUAAAUAAACUCAAGAUGACCCAAGCAUAAAAAGAGACAAGAAGGAGGCAGUGCGAGAUCUGGAAAAGAGUGGCCACGGAAAGAAGACGCCAUGGAGAUUUCAAGCCCAGAGCUACAGACAGGCCUCCAUGGCAGACAGGACCUGACUGAGAUUCCUGUAUAUGUUUACCAGGCACAGACCCUCCCCACUCAAGGUAUUUAACGACCAGUUUAAUGAGCGAUUAAAGACAGUUUUGCCCUUGAGCCAGCCUGCUUUUACUCUUCUUCCCUGAGGAAGGUAGGGCUCCACAUGUACCAUUUCUUCCCUUUCUAUCGGAAGGGCAUGUCCCAGUCUGACACCUAAUUUUUAGCGCUCUUAUUCUGAAGCUGAAGUGGAGACUGCAUGUUUAAAGCCUCAGAUCUACUCUGACUGCAGUCAGUGGGAAUUUUCCUAUGUAGGUGCUAAGUAUUAUUCAGUGUAAGCAAAACUUGGCCUGUUACUUCUAGCUUAUUUUCCAUUAUAAAUCAAAUCCUCUCUAAUUUUUGCCUGAAGUCUUUCCUCCUACAGAGGAAUUUGUUGUAGCUAUAACGUUGCCAUGAAAUAUUUUAGCCACGAAAGCUUGAAAAUAGCUUUCUUCCCUUUCAAAAGUCAUGUUUCUCAGGGAAGCUAGCUUGCUCUAGGACUUCUAAAUAUGGUUUGUUGUUGCAUUUUGACCCAGAAAACAGUUCGCUGGUUGUUGGUAGAGAAAUUUGAUUGUGUUCUGAAGUCAACAGCUUUGUAGGCUGAGUUGCUAGCAAAGCAUGUAAAGAUCAUUACAUCCCUAAUGAAGGUGCGUGUUUUAAUGACAGUGUGUCUCUGCUCUCCAAAGCUUAAUAAGACAACAAGAAAGAUUUAGGUCCAAGCUUGAAUUCACUUAUACUAAAAUAAAGCAAGCCCAGGUUCCA